UACGUAGGCAGCGAGCGUUGUUCGGAGUUACUGGGCGUAAAGAGUGCGUAGGCGGUGCUCUAAGUUCGGUGUGAAAUCUCCUGGCUUAACUGGGAGGGUGCGCCGGAAACUGGAGUGCUCGAACGUGGGAGAGGAAAGCGGAAUUCCUGGUGUAGCGGUGAAAUGCGUAGAUAUCAGGAGGAACACCUGCGGUGUAGACGGCUUUCUGGACCAUUGUUGACGCUGAGACACGAAAGCGUGGGUAGCAAACAGG
rnacentral:rRNA from 1 species